UUCCCUUAUCAAUUGAGCUACUCUAAUUCUAUUUUCUUUUUUUGAAGAUAUAUAAGUACCACAAUUAUUCAUCGACACAAAUAAACAAAACAUAUACCUUUUACAACAUAAAGUGAUCAAUAAUUUGCUAUAUGUUGCAAGCUUUGGAGAAAAAAUAUGGCGGAAAUUAUUAAGUUUGCUUAUUUAAUGAUCUUUUUUAUUUCUUUGUUUCUUGUUGUAACUGAUGUUAAUGCAUUGUGGAAAAAAUGCAAAGACGAUGAUGGUUGUCGGUACUUUCAGUGUAUAUCUCCUUAUGUUCCAAAAUGUGUUUAUCGUACAUGUAAAUGUCUUCCUCCGAAGGAUGACAAUCCUCUCUAUAUCAAUACCCUUAUCCCUCGCUGACAUCUUUAGAGUCUUCUCUAGCUUCCACACAAUCAGAUCGUAAAUGUCAUUUUUUUUUGCUUAGAUUAGGAUUUCCGACGGUCUUCACAGAGCUGGUUACUUUGGUGGGUUGCAGUUUACUUAGUUUUGUGUGGAGUAGGUUCGAUUGACAUCGUUUACUUUUAGCAUGGCAAGUGUGCUUAUAGUUGAGAGAUGGUUCUAUUCUGCUUCAAUUCUGAAAUGCUACGUCCGAAAUUUGGUGUUUGGGUAGGAGUUGGUGUUAGAAGGACGAUAAUGUGUCUUUAUUUGAAUUUCAAAUGAUGUUGUUUUUAUUUAGGUGAUUUCAAAUGCACAAUUUUUAUUUUAUUUA